rnacentral:rRNA from 1 species
GUCUAUUAUGAAUUUAUUUAUAGUCCAGCCCGCUCACUGAUAAAAUUAUAAAACACCGCGGUAUCUUGCCCGUGCAAAGGUAGCAUAAUCAUUAGUUUUUUAAUUGGAAACUAGCAUGAAUGGUUGGACAAAGAAAAAGCUGUCUCUUUCAUUAAAAUUGAAUUUAACUUCUAAGUGAAAAGGCUUAGAUAUCUUAGAGGGACGAUAAGACCCUAUAAAGCUUUAUAAAUUCAAAGAUUUUAUAUAUUUUUUUAAUAAUGAUAAUUUUUCAAAAAUUUAUUGGGUUGGGGCAACAGAAGUAUAAUUAUCAAUACCUGCUAUAAAGUAUUACAAUUAUUUUUGUUAUUAAAGAGUUGUUGAUCCUCGAAAGGGAUUAAAAGAUCAAGUUCCUUUAGGGAUAACAGCGUAAUUUAUCCUGAGAGUUCUUAUCAAAGGAUAAGUUUGCGACCUCGAUGUUGAAUUAAAAUGUCUUUAUAGUGCAGCAGCUAUACAAGAAGGUCUGUUCGACCUUUAAUUUUUU